rnacentral:lncRNA from 1 species
GGCAGUCCUUGGUAAUAGAUUGACUAGCUGUCAAAUAAAUUUGUAAUUUUAGAUGAGAUGGGCUUUAGACCAAUUUUAAGAUACAGUCUUUAUCCAAGUGUGCUCCCCUCCCCCCAGUCAAGUAGACACAGUAUGCCAGAGAAUCCUGCUUCAUUCCCAGUGUUUCUGCUGCAGUGGCUACACAGCUCCUGCACAGUUGGACUGUAAUGCUUUUAUAGGCUUCUCUGGGAAGCUGGAUAGCGAAUGAAAUGUAGAUAUAAAAUUAAUUUGUGUUUUAAAAAAGCUCACGUGCUGAUAGCGCCGUGUGUUUGCUGGAAUCCUCUUGAGUAGCCAAGAUUCUUUCCCUUUCCUACUUUGUGCUUCAUACUUGUGUUCUUAGAAGGGGAAAGCCCUUUUCCAGUCAGGUGUCCUGGGAGGGGGGAAGUGUGUGAGUGUGUCUGUGUGCGUGCAGAAUCAUAACAGGCAUCCAGUCCCAGCUGGGCAAUGACACUAAUUGCCCAGAUCUCAUGGAUGCCUGCGAUGGAGCACGCUCACUUUCUCUCCUUUCCUAGCCUCUCCAGGGAUUUUUAAAAUGCAGUAUUUGAAUUUUGGUGAGUGGUAAAGACCCUGCCCUAGGACCCAUUUGACAAAUGAGAAGCUGUGCAGCAUCAGCACCAGCCGACUGAGCCUCACUGAGUCUCUCUCUCUCUCUCCUAGUCAGCAGCUACUGUUGUGAGACAAGCUUCAGCUCUCUGUCAUUGAGGAAGUUCCAUUUGCUCAUCAAUAGGCUGCAGGCUGUGUCUUCUUUUUUUCCUCUCUGUUAAAAAAUCGUAGUUUAAACCUACCAAGUUGCCUUAGCUGACAAACGAAUGUAGGGGCUUAGCGCUGGGGAGAGGAAAGGCGUUGGAGAAACAGCGUUUCUUAUUUAAAUAAUCGAAAGGGAGGGGAAAAAAAAAAAAGAAAAGAAAAGAAAAACAACAACCAACCCGUAGUGACAAGAUAGGGCAAACGUGCUUGCAUGCAAGCCCCCUCACUUGUUCUACGUAGACUUCAGAGCAACACCAUGCAGCAUCCCCUUACGGGUGCAACCUGCGUGGCACUGCCGAAUGUGGGCAUGUGUCCCCAGCUCUCCUGUGCCUUGACUUUUAUGUACUUACAGCAGCUGGGCCUUGAAUAAUUGUCCAGUAGCUGAUGGACUGAGGGUAGGCAAUAUUUUCAGGGUUUUCUGAUUCAUUUAACCAGCUUGGCUGCCCCAAGAGAAACACAGUGCUUGUUUAUUCAUAUGUGUAGGGUAAAAGUCUGUGCGAUGUCAGACAAAUUAUAGCACUCUGGUAAAACAAAAAAGGAGCUACCAUGCUACAGACUGUAUCCUGUGGAUGCAUUUGUACCUAAGGGGGCACUGUGGCACUCC